CCUACGGGAGGCAGCAGUGAGGAAUAUUGGUCAAUGGGCUUACGCCUGAACCAGCCAAGUCGCGUGAGGGAAGACUGCCCUAUGGGUUGUAAACCUCUUUUGUCAGGGAGCAACGCCGGCUACGUGUAGCCGGACUGAGAGUACCUGAAGAAAAAGCAUCGGCUAACUCCGUGCCAGCAGCCGCGGUAAUACGGAGGAUGCGAGCGUUAUCCGGAUUUAUUGGGUUUAAAGGGUGCGUAGGCGGAUCGUUAAGUCAGUGGUCAAAUUGAGGGGAUCAACCCCUUCCCGCCAUUGAAACUGGCGCUCUUGAGUGGAAGAGAAGUAUGCGGAAUGCGUGGUGUAGCGGUGAAAGGCAUAGAUAUCACGCAGAACCCCGAUUGCGAAGGCAGCAUACCGGCGCCCUACUGACGCUGAGGCACGAAAGUGCGGGUAUCGAACAGGAUUAGAUACCCGAGUAGUC
rnacentral:rRNA from 1 species